GUACCUAUGUCAAGAGAAGGGAUGAGGCC
rnacentral:piRNA from 1 species